UGGUAAUGCAGGCUUUUUGAUCCAUCUAAAUUAUCAAGGUUAAAGGUUUUUAAGCAGCUUUGAUUUGCGUUUUUGAGCUGAAAACAUGGCGCAGAGCAACUGGGAAGCAGAUAAAAUGCUUGAUGUGUACAUAUACGAUUAUUUGGUGAAGAAGAAACUGCAUGCCACUGCAAAGUCCUUUAUGAAUGAAGGGAAAGUAGCCCCAGAUCCAGUAGCAAUUGAUGCUCCUGGAGGGUUUCUUUUUGAAUGGUGGUCUGUCUUCUGGGACAUUUUUAUUGCAAGGACAAAUGAGAAACAUUCAGAGGCUGCUGCAGCAUAUAUAGAGGCACAACAAGUUAAAGCAAAGGAGCAGCAACAACAACAGUUGCAAAUGCAGCAGUUGCAACUGAUGCGUCAAGCUCAAUUCCAACGGGGAGGUCCUAAUAAUCCAUCUCUUGGCGGUCCAGUAAAUGCUAUUGGUUCUGAAGGAAUGCUUGGUCAAUCCACUGCUAGUGCAAUGGCGGCAAAAAUUUAUGAGGAACGUAUGAAACACUCUAAUCCAAUGGAUUCAGAAACAUCUCAGCCACUCCUUGAUGCUAGGAUGCCUCUACUAAAACAAGCAACGAAUCAUCCUGGCCAGUUGGUCCAAGGGAAUUCUGGGAGCAUUACAGCAGCAUUGCAGCAAAUCCAGG
rnacentral:misc_RNA from 1 species